AGAGUUUGAUCCUGGCUCAGGACGAACGCUGGCGGCGUGCUUAACACAUGCAAGUCGAACGGAAAGGCCCUGCUUGCAGGGUACUCGAGUGGCGAACGGGUGAGUAACACGUGGGUGAUCUGCCCUGCACUUCGGGAUAAGCUUGGGAAACUGGGUCUAAUACCGGAUAGGAACCAUCUUUAGUGUGGUGGUUGGAAAGUUUUUUCGGUGUAGGAUGAGCUCGCGGCCUAUCAGCUUGUUGGUGGGGUAAUGGCCUACCAAGGCGGCGACGGGUAGCCGGCCUGAGAGGGUGUACGGCCACAUUGGGACUGAGAUACGGCCCAGACUCCUACGGGAGGCAGCAGUGGGGAAUAUUGCACAAUGGGCGCAAGCCUGAUGCAGCGACGCCGCGUGGGGGAUGAAGGCCUUCGGGUUGUAAACUCCUUUCGCUAGGGACGAAGCUUUUUGUGACGGUACCUAGAUAAGAAGCACCGGCUAACUACGUGCCAGCAGCCGCGGUAAUACGUAGGGUGCGAGCGUUGUCCGGAAUUACUGGGCGUAAAGGGCUCGUAGGUGGUUUGUCGCGUCGUCUGUGAAAUUCUGGGGCUUAACUCCGGGCGUGCAGGCGAUACGGGCAUAACUUGAGUGCUGUAGGGGUAACUGGAAUUCCUGGUGUAGCGGUGAAAUGCGCAGAUAUCAGGAGGAACACCGAUGGCGAAGGCAGGUUACUGGGCAGUUACUGACGCUGAGGAGCGAAAGCAUGGGUAGCGAACAGGAUUAGAUACCCUGGUAGUCCAUGCCGUAAACGGUGGGCGCUAGGUGUGAGGGUCUUUCUACGACUUUCGUGCCGUAGCUAACGCAUUAAGCGCCCCGCCUGGGGAGUACGGCCGCAAGGCUAAAACUCAAAGGAAUUGACGGGGGCCCGCACAAGCGGCGGAGCAUGUGGAUUAAUUCGAUGCAACGCGAAGAACCUUACCUGGGCUUGACAUACACCAGAUUGGGCUAGAGAUAGUUCGUCCCUUUGUGGUUGGUGUACAGGUGGUGCAUGGUUGUCGUCAGCUCGUGUCGUGAGAUGUUGGGUUAAGUCCCGCAACGAGCGCAACCCUUGUCUUAUGUUGCCAGCAUUUGGUUGGGGACUCAUGAGAGACUGCCGGGGUUAACUCGGAGGAAGGUGGGGAUGACGUCAAAUCAUCAU
rnacentral:rRNA from 1 species